GACGAACGCUGGCGGCGUGCCUAAUACAUGCAAGUCGAACGGUCUUUUCUAUGGAAGCUUGCUUCCACUGAGAAGAUAGUGGCGAACGGGUGAGUAACACGUGGGUAACCUGCCCAUAAGAGGGGGAUAACAUCCGGAAACGGGUGCUAAUACCGCAUAGUUUUCUUGAUCGCAUGAUUGAGAAAGGAAAGACGGCCUUUGUGCUGUCGCUUAUGGAUGGACCCGCGGCGUAUUAGUUAGUUGGUGAGGUAACGGCUCACCAAGACGAUGAUGCGUAGCCGACCUGAGAGGGUGAUCGGCCACAUUGGGACUGAGACACGGCCCAAACUCCUACGGGAGGCAGCAGUAGGGAAUCUUCCGCAAUGGACGAGAGUCUGACGGAGCAACGCCGCGUGAGUGAAGAAGGUUUUCGGAUCGUAAAACUCUGUUGUCAGAGAAGAACAAGUCGGAGAGUAACUGCUCCGGCCUUGACGGUAUCUGACCAGAAAGCCACGGCUAACUACGUGCCAGCCGCCGCUGUAAUAC
rnacentral:rRNA from 1 species